CUCUUAUCCAGAGUGGCGGAGGGACAGGCCCUAUGAUGCCCGGCAACCAGCGAAAGCAUGGUGCUAAUUCCUGCAGGUAAUAACCUGAGAGAUGAGAG
rnacentral:ncRNA from 2 species